AUAAGAAGCCUAAUUAAUAAUUGUGGAGAAAGAAGUUCGUUUUACGAUAUUAAGAGAAUAAAGUGAGCAAGAAGAAGAUAUUCGACAAAUACAAAGAGAAAGAAGAGAAGUAAAAGAAAGAGAGAGAGAGAGAGAAAUAGAGAUAGUGUGAGAGAAAGAGAGAGAGGAAGAGAUAUAGAGAUAAAGAUAAUUACACAGCAUGUUUAAAUAUCAUUUAAUCUCUUUUAAUAUCCUUACUUGUGGAAUCUUCGAAAACGAUGAAAUGUGAAAUUGACUUCAAGAAGAAACAUAAAGAAAGACAGCCAUUAAAA
rnacentral:lncRNA from 1 species